GGAGAGGUGGCCGAGUGGUCGAAGGCGGGCGACUCGAAAUCGUCUAGGCGGUGAUGAGCCGUCUCGUGGGUUCAAAUCCCACUCUCUCCGCCA
rnacentral:tRNA from 6 species